rnacentral:rRNA from 1 species
AAGUCGUAACAAGGUCUCCGUAGGUGAACCUGCGGAGGGAUCAUUAACCGGGAAACCCAUCGGCGUCCUCGGGCGCCUGUGGUCCACCCAUUUGUGCACCAACUCUGUUGCCUCGGGGGUGACCCCGCCGUGCGAGCGGCGGCGGCACCCCCGGCGGCCCCCUUCUAAACUUUGCGUACGAGUGUCGUCGGAGUUUUAUAAAAAUUAUCACAACUUUCAACAAUGGAUCUCUUGGUUCUGGCAUCGAUGAAGAACGCAGCGAAAUGCGAUAAGUAAUGCGAAUUGCAGAAUUCCGCGAGUCAUCGAAUCUUUGAACGCACAUUGCGCCCCUCGGUACUCCGGGGGGCAUGCCUGUUCGAGCGUCAUUUCACCAAUCCAGCCUGGCUGGGUGUUGGGCGUCGCGGGGUCGACCCGCGCGCCUCAAAGUCUUUCCGGCUGAGCGUAUUCACCUCCGCGCGUUGUGGCACUGGUCCGCGAGCGAGGUGGGGGCGUCUGGCCGUUAAACCAUUUCUUUCAGGUUGACCUCGGAUCAGGUAGGGAUACCCGCUGAACUUAA